AUACUUACCUGGAUGGGGUUAAUGAGCUAUCAAGAAGGCUCAUAGCCUAGAACAGGGACCUUCAUUGCACAAAGAAGGGGUGCUGUUCUAAGGUCUACUCUAGCAGUGGAGCCUACAUCAUAAUUUGUGGCAGAGGGGCAUGCGUCCGCGCAGCCCCUAC